ACCAAACUCUCGACAAAUCUUUAUGCAUUGGGAGAGGCUCUCCCAAUGCAUUUUUCACACUUUUUCAACGAAUUGUGACGUCGGGAGAAGUCAGAUUUCUUGUAGUGCUUUUGGAGAUGAGGUACUUUAAUAAACAACUUUUCAAAUGACCAAGUAAUUUCUAGAUGUACCAGUGUAUAGGUCUGUAUAUCUACAACAAGUUCAUGAAACUCUCAUUAAUCAUGCAGUUUCAAGCUACUCGUAAAGCAUCUGAAGAAGUUGGUGCUCAAAUAGUUUUGGGGGACCAGCCAAUUGAAAUAACUGUAUGUAUUUUCUCCUGCAAGAUGAUACUAUUCUGUUUUGGCAAGUACAAAUGAUUGUAGAAUUUGGCCCAUUCAGAUAAUUUAAUCCAUUCGAUCGCUCCAAUAUGAUUUAUUUAUUCAUGCAGCUAGAAAGGGCAUGGAAUGCUCUGAAUUGGACUGAGAAGUUGAGUUUAGUAAGCUCCGUUGUUUGUGGAAUAACAUCGAAAUCUGAUUUUUCUCAUAACAAUGAUGAGGAAUCUAGUGGAAAUGGUAGUUCUUUGCAACUCUAUGAGAAGUUUAGUUUUUCUUAUCCAUCCAUCUUUCAACCUCUCAUUCAAGAACGAGAUACUGUAAGUACAAUCCUACAUUGGAUUUUCAGUUCUUACUUCAACAUUUAUUUAUAAUCACCAUUUUUUCAUUUCGACAUUCACAAUUACAAAGUUCUUAAUAUAGUUGCAUUUUCAAUACCUUGCAUGGUCUCUUAAGCGUAGCAAGGCAGUGAACAAGAGCAAGGGCACAUGAAGGUGGAAAGGUUCAAGAAGAACAUUUUGAAGAGGGGUUAUGCCUGAGACUGCUACAAAGAAGGGAAAGGACUACCCUAUUGGCCCUAUUCUUCUUGGAUUCUUCAUUUUUGUCGCCAUUGGAUCAUUUCCAACUUUGCUUUCCGAUAGUUCAACAGCCGCAAUUGUUGAAGCCUGUGCAUUUCCAUACCUGAGUGCCGCUGUCGUGCCUUUUCAUUUGUCCAUUUUGUGCUCAAAUCAAAGUCGUGGUUCUUCUUUUCAGCAACAUGGUGAGUUUGUUUGCAACUAGUUUCUGGUUCGAUUUUUUUGCUCAAUCUCUUGGCUUUAAACAUUGGUUUUUUUUGGGAAUUAUGAUAAUUCUAUUGAAAACAAGUGGUUGUGAAAUAUUUUUUGGAGUGUGUUUCUUUGAACAGGUUCAAGGUAAAUUUUUGGUUUUGUUGUGGUAGCAUCGUUAUGUUGCCGAAAAUUUUCCAUCGUCUUCAUAUCUCAUAUCUAGGUAACCAAGAUUCUCUUCUUCAAUAUCUUGGAAAAGAAGAUUCUCUCAUCUAUUGAUAUCAACUC